AGGAGGAGAAGGAGGAGGAGGAAGAGGAGGAGGAGGAAGAGGAGGAAGAGAAAGAGAAGGAGGAGGAAGAGGAGGAAAAGGAGGAGGAGGAAGAAGAGGAGGAGGAGUUUUCUCCUGUCGGCGAAGCAGCAGGUUGGACGGCGUGGGCUACUCAACUGUCUUCAAUUGUAUCAACACAUGAGAUGGCCGCUUCUCAGCUGGAACAAUUUGGAGUUCUAUCAGAUGAGGGCCAGACUUCCCUGUAUUGUGGUAGGGGUCAAUGAUAGUACCGGUGGACCGGACCUCCUGAUUGGUCCUCUCCUCAUCUUCUGCAGUCUCCUGCAAUGACAAACCAGCCGCUUAGCUGCCGUCCUAAUAAGCUCUCGAAGAGCUCAUGCAGAGAUAUCUGAGACUACAACAUCAUCACAGUUGAGAAUUUCUGUUUAUCGCUUGCCAUGCCACCCAAGAAGGUACGUUUCCUGCCAUACGAGUUGGGUUUGACAUUCAUGCUUUAUUUUUCAUUCCAUGUUUUACAUUCAAUCACGAUGUGCAAAUCAUAUUCCCGUCAAACUGAACGUAAUUUACUGUGGCUCGGCAGAACUCGCAGCGCCGCUGCACUCUGUCCUGGAGUUGAAUGCUUCUGACAGGGAAGCAUCCUUUUGCAGUAACCUUAAAAUGUUUAUACGUAACCAUAAAUGUUAUUUACAAAAUGCUCUGUAUCAAGUCCCACACUUAUCCCUUAUUUACUGCAAUUGCACCAAUGAUCCAAAACAUGUGCAGUCUGACAAUUAUUAAUAAAUACUAUUGUUGAAUAGUUUUGAGUGUAAUUAGUGUGAAGGUAAACUGCAUGGGUGACAUGAUUGAUUUCUCCAAUAGGAAAUAUGCUCUGUGUGUGUGUGUGUG